AUUAUUUUAUUAUAAAAAGUAAUUAAUCCUUCCAAGAUUAAAGUCCUUCUAGGAAAUAAUA
rnacentral:tRNA from 1 species